GACGAACGCUGGCGGCGAUGCUUAACACAUGCAAGUCGAACGGAAAGGCCCUGCUUUUGUGGGGUGCUCGAGUGGCGAACGGGUGAGUAACACGUGAGUAACCUGCCCUUGACUUUGGGAUAACUUCAGGAAACUGGGGCUAAUACCGGAUAGGAGCUCCUGCUGCAUGGUGGGGGUUGGAAAGUUUCGGCGGUUGGGGAUGGACUCGCGGCUUAUCAGCUUGUUGGUGGGGUAGUGGCUUACCAAGGCUUUGACGGGUAGCCGGCCUGAGAGGGUGACCGGCCACAUUGGGACUGAGAUACGGCCCAGACUCCUACGGGAGGCAGCAGUGGGGAAUAUUGCACAAUGGGCGGAAGCCUGAUGCAACAACGCCGCGUGCGGGAUGACGGCCUUCGGGUUGUAAACCGCUUUCGCCUGUGACGAAGCGUGAGUGACGGUAAUGGGUAAAGAAGCACCGGCUAACUACGUGCCAGCAGCCGCGGUGAUACGUAGGGUGCGAGCGUUGUCCGGAUUUAUUGGGCGUAAAGGGCUCGUAGGUGGUUGAUCGCGUCGGAAGUGUAAUCUUGGGGCUUAACCCUGAGCGUGCUUUCGAUACGGGUUGACUUGAGGAAGGUAGGGGAGAAUGGAAUUCCUGGUGGAGCGGUGGAAUGCGCAGAUAUCAGGAGGAACACCAGUGGCGAAGGCGGUUCUCUGGGCCUUUCCUGACGCUGAGGAGCGAAAGCGUGGGGAGCGAACAGGCUUAGAUACCCUGGUAGUCCACGCUGUAAACGGUGGGUACUAGGUGUGGGGUCCAUUCCACGGGUUCCGUGCCGUAGCUAACGCUUUAAGUACCCCGCCUGGGGAGUACGGCCGCAAGGCUAAAACUCAAAGGAAUGGACGGGGCCCCGCACAAGCGGCGGAGCAUGCGGAUUAAUUCGAUGCAACGCGUAGAACCUUACCUGGGUUUGACAUGGAUCGGGAGUGCUCAGAGAUGGGUGUGCCUCUUUUGGGGUCGGUUCACAGGUGGUGCAUGCCUGUCGUCAGCUCGUGUCGUGAGAUGUUGGGUUAAGUCCCGCAACGAGCGCAACCCUUGUUCACUGUUGCCAGCACGUUAUGGUGGGGACUCAGUGGAGACCACCGGGGUCAACUCGGAGGAAGGUGGGGAUGACGUCAAGUCCUCAUGCCCCUUAUGUCCAGGGCUUCACGCAUGCUACAAUGGCUGGUACAGAGAGUGGCGAGCCUGUGAGGGUGAGCGAAUCUCGGAAAGCCGGUCUCAGUUCGGAUUGGGGUCUGCAACUCGACCUCAUGAAGUCGGAGUCGCUAGUAAUCGCCAGAUCAGCAACGCUGCGGUGAAUACGUUCCCGGGGCU
rnacentral:rRNA from 1 species